AUGAAAGGUAGCGCGCCCCUCUCUGCCCAUUCCGGGUACACAUACUUCAAGCUGUGCUCAUGGUUCGCCGACGUGCUCCCCUGCCUUGCCCGCCUCCCCAAGCUGCUCGAGGACCACUACGCCGGCGCCCGGGCCACGCUCGGGCUCCGCCUCCUGGGCUCCCAGGGCGCGGGCGUCGUGCUCUUCGGCCAGGAGCUCGCCGCCGUCCUCUUCUGCUUGUUCCCCGCCGCCAGCCGUGACAAGGCCCGCCUCCCGGCCAUCAAUUUCGACGCCUUGCUCUCGGCACUUACCAACAAUGUGAGGUGCCGGUUUUGUGUCGUCUGA
rnacentral:rRNA from 1 species